rnacentral:tRNA from 1 species
GAAGGGCUAUAGCUCAGAGGUAGAGAAUCUGCUUUGCAUGCAGAAGGUUCCAGGUUCAAUCCCCAUCAUCUUCA